GGUGAGGAAUUGAAUUGGUUAACAGAAUUGGAAAUCGAGUAGGCGGGCUAAAACCUGUCUCGAGGGUUCGAAUCCCUCCCUCUCCGCCA
rnacentral:tRNA from 1 species